UAGCUGAGUUUGGGGACUUCUAGCUCUUCACCUGGCUGAUGAUCCUAUUUUACCUUUCAACUAUGUCUCUUACACAGAACAAUUAUGGAACUACACAAAUCUCCUACGCAACUUGGGUGAAAGGUAAUGUAUCCCUGCACCCUAUAACUGCAUCCAUUCAGGAACUCGCCUCUGCAGCCGAAGAAGCUGAGGGAGAAGCAUCUAGCAGUCCCUAUGGCCAACUUGACAAGGAACAAUGAAGAUGACUCUGGACGUCCAUUUGAUGGGUGCAAGGCUGCUAGAUUUUGCAAUUCUUAGACCAUACUUGCAACAUCCUGCCAUCAGUCAUGACCCAGCAACAGUGACAUCUAAAGGACUGCAAUCAAUUCUUGCCUUUUUUGAACUAAUCCCAAGGAAACAUAAUGGUAUGCUGUUGCUGAUAAUGUCAUUGCUACUAUUUAUGCUACUCAUCCAACUCCUAUGGAGAAAUAUGGAAGUUGUGGUUGAAAAGGUUUGCAACAGGUUUGGUGGAGUCACAUGUAUUGUUUAUACUAUUGUUUUAAUUCUAUUUUCAUCUAUCAUGUGCUAAUAUGACAACUUAUUAUCAUGUCAGGUUUUCAUGCAUGACUUCAUUAUAAGAUAUAAUGUCAUGGCACCUUGCAUUUUUGUUGAAUAUAGCUUACGCUUGGACUAGUCUCUUAUUUACCCAUAUCGGAGACAUACUUCAUUAAUAACCUAGCAAGGUAUUAAGUUCUUGCAUUACCUUAUUUGCAGUUUAUUUUUUUUAAUAAUUGGUGUAUUUUUUCACACUAACGAAAACCAAAGUAAGGAGUUUGCAACUGGAACUCAAGUCUCGCAUUGAGGAGUUUGAGAAGCUUGACAAAUUCCAUAUGGAA